GUGUGUGUGGCAUAGUGGUUUGAGUGUUAGACUACAAAUCUGGAGACCAGGGUUCAAUUCCCCACUCAGCCA